CGACAACAUUCCCAAACAGGCACAUGGAGGAGGAGCAAAUGUUCAGUCAUGACUGGAACGGGAUUGUGCAAGCCAUGGAUGCUUCUGUAAAUAAAACGGACGAACGAUCCCAGGCAACAGCCAUAUGGGACUGGAACACAUAUUGAUGCAAAUGGAAAAGAAGCCUUUUAUGUGGCAGUAGGCCUCCAGAGAGGAGAAGAAAAUGUACAAGAGCCACAGGAGCACAAAGAGGCAGGAUGUGAGGAGCUUGGCAGUCCGGGGCCCACCCAGCUCACCUCCGAUUUCUGGCCUCCGCCGAUACAGCAGCACCCCCACAUUGAUGAAAGCAAAAAUGGUGAAGAGAGUGACAGAGAAAGCUAGCGUGCCGGGGGACACUUUGAACUGUUCCCCGUUGGCCGCGUGGUAGAUGGCAGCGAUGGACCAGGCCACGCCAAUCCCCAGGAAGACGUUCACCGCGUUGCUGCCUGUGACGUUGCCUAUGGACGCGUCUGCAUACUGGUCCUGGGUGGCUGCCACCUUGCUGGCGAACGUAUCUGUGGAGGAAGAAGAAGAAGGCAGUGACCUUCAGCUCACCUGGUGGAGGUGUGGUGUUCUAUAGGCUUCAGCUGUGUUCUCUGGAAUGAAACCCAGUGGCCAGGAGCAGGCUUGGAUGUGCAGGGAGCGGGACAAGAGUGAUUGAUACUUCCUGAUGCGUAAAGUACAGGGAGAUUUAGAGCGCUUGGAGCCAGAGGGUUUCAGACCCUGCCUUCCACACGGACGCCCGAGCUGUGAGACAGGCACAGUGCGCCCACCUGAGAGAGGUUUGCACAUGAUCACCCUUCAUUAGAAUCGACUAAAGAUAAUCUCAGUUUAAAGAAUAAGGACCUACAUGAAAUAUUCCAAGAUCCUAGGAAGAAAGACCUAGACCUCUAGACCUGAAGAUAUUGCCAUUGAUCAAAUGAAACCACAGUACAGAGUCAUCACCCGCAAAACGAAAAAUGGCAGCAAAAUAAGUGACUUGAAAUCACUCUGGUCAACCAUCCAUUUCUAGAAAUGAAGCCAUGGUACAGAUGGUGGCAGCAAUGCCUGAGUUUCAAACACUCUUACGUCAAUCAAGUGUGCCCACUGCUGGCAUUGGAAACAUUGGGAGAGCCCUUUAGAAACAAGAUUUGGGGGCCUCUCCUGGUGGUGCAGCAGUUGAGCACUGGGCUGCAAAGCUGCCCGCAGCCUCUGCAGUGCCGGUUCAAUCCCUGGCCACUGGUGAGGGUCCCACAUGGUGCACAGACCUCUCCUGCUGCGCCCGCUGCUCCCCUCAGCAGUGUAUUUCAGCCCAUCUGCCUGUUCUGUUCACCGCUCUGGUGAAUUCUCUCACCCUUCCGUGCUUCUGACUGUACCCAGUACUUGUAUAAAUAAAUCUUAAAAAAAAUAAAAACAAACAAAAACAAGAUUUGGGGCUCUACCCUCAACCCAUUUAACCAGAGAAUGCAGGAGGAUGCAUUUAAACAAGUGCCUUAGGUAUUUUCUAUACCAAGGUUUAAUAACUAGCUCUAAGGUAUAAAAAUGGGGAUAUUGCUCCAAGUGCUCACAAGUUGGGGGGAGGCUUGCCGGGAGGUAUAGAUAUUUGAGUUUCAGGGAAGCAGCUAAGUGGAGCGAAGGGCAGCUGAUUUCUCUGAGAAACGGUGAUGCCCUCUGACAAAGACCAUCCCACUGCCAUGCUUGCUCUGUUGUAGUCUUAUUUUUUUCAACCCUAUUUCUGGCAUGGCUAUAGUGAACAACCAAGGGAGGAGGGAAAUUUGUAACUUAGUUGAAUUCUGGCUCCUCCACUUGCCAGGUAAGACAUUUACUUACUUUAUAGGUUUCUGAAAGAAAUGAGUUAACAUGAGCCAUACUCAGAAUAGGGCCUGGCACAUAAUGAGUGUUUGAUAUUAUUAGCAAUCCCAAGAGAUAUCAUAAGUGGUAAGAAAUUCUGACUUAAUGAUUCUUAAUGUUAGUAAGACUUUAAAGGGUAUUAUAACUCUCCUAACUUUAUGAUCCCAUGCUUUUAAAAAUGUGAUAGAAAAUAAAAUUAUUCUUAAAAUAUCUUGGUCUCCAGGACCUAAAGUGAAAGGGGCGGGGCAGGGAAUUAUUAAUGGGUGUAGAGCUUCAACUGCAAUUUGGUAAGAAGUGUGGAGACUUUUUGUGAAAAUGAAGCACUUAAAAAUGAUUAGGAUGGCAAGUUUUGUUAUGUGUUGUUUAGCACAAUUUAAACAUUUUUAAAUGGUUUUGCCUAAAAAAUUAGACUCUACCUUAGUGUUUCUAUAAGGAUUAUAAUUGAUGCAAAAUAUUUCAUUUGUGGACUUAAAUAUGUUUGUUUUAAUAAAAAGUUUGCACAAAAUAAAAUCCUGAAAAUUCCAUAUAAAUUAAGCCAUAAAAAUGCAUUAGAAUUU